rnacentral:lncRNA from 1 species
UGACAACAUAUUUCAGGAAGAUGAUCCAUUGUCUGAGUGGAUAGAAGAAAGAGAAAAUCCAGCAUUAGAUGGAGCACAAAAUGCAGAGUGGCUUCCUAUAAUUGACACCGAUGAUGAAAAUGAAAAUAUGGAAGUUGAUAGUGAUGAUGUUGGUUCUGAUGAACAUAGUGGUGGUUUAAGCCCACCAAGUGAGGAUGGUGGCAAUGACGCUCGUAAUGUUGAGGGUGGAGAAAGUGAUGAGGAAGGUGAGC